rnacentral:rRNA from 1 species
UGAAUACGAGACGCUAAGGCGUCGAAGUAGUGUAUGUCAUACUUCCAAGAAAAGCUUGCACUGUCAUAAGUAAAAAAUGCCUGUACCAUAACCGACACAGGUGGGUAGGUAGAGUAUACUAAGGGGCGCGAGAUAACUCUCUCUAAGGAACUCGGCAAAAUAACUCCGUAACUUCGGGAGAAGGAGUACCUUAUUCUAUAAGGUUGCAAUAACAAGAUCCAAGCAACUGUUUAUCAAAAACACAGGUCUCCGCUAAGUCGUAAGACGAUGUAUGGGGGCUGACGCCUGCCCAGUGCCAGAAGGUUAAAGAAGUCGGUUAGCAUUAGCGAAGCUGGUAACUGAAGCCCUGGUGAACGGCGGCCGUAACUAUAACGGUCCUAAGGUAGCGAAAUUCCUUGUCGGGUAAGUUCCGACCCGCACGAAAGGCGUAAUGAUUUGGAUACUGUCUCGGAGAGGGGCUCGGUGAAAUAGACUUGUCUGUGAAGAUGCGGACUACCUGCACCAGGACAGAAAGACCCUAUGAAGCUUUACUGUAACUUGAAAUUGAAAUUGGACUUUAUUCGCGCAGUAUAGGUGGGAGGUGUUGAUUAUAAUCUUGCGGGAUUAUUGGAGCCAUCAGUGAGAUACCACUCUUGUAAUGUUAGAUUUCUAACUUUGAAUCAUUAUCUGGUCAAAGGACAGUUUCAGGCGGGCAGUUUGACUGGGGCGGUCGCCUCCCAAACGGUAACGGAGGCGUACAAAGGUUUCCUCUGAACGGGUAGAAAUCGUAUCUAGAGUGUAAAGGCAUAAGGAAGCUUGACUGUGAGACCUACAAGUCGAACAGGGACGAAAGUCGGUCUUAGUGAUCUGACGGUACUGAGUGGAAAGGCCGUCACCCAACGGAUAAAAGUUACUCUAGGAUAACAGGCUGAUCUCCCCCAAGAGUUCACAUCGACGGGGAGGUUUGGCACCUCGAUGUCGGCUCAUCGCAUCCUGGGGCGGUAGUACGUCCCAAGGGUUGGGCUGUUCGCCCAUGAAAGCGGUACGCGAGCUGGGUUCAGAACGUCGUGAGACAGUUCGGUCCAUAUCCGGUGUAGGCGUUAGAAUAUUGAGAGGAGCCUUCUUUAGUACGAGAGGACCGAGAAGGACAUACCUCUGGUGUACCAGUUAUCGUGCCAACGGUAAACGCUGGGUAGCUAUGUAUGGAGUGGAUAACCGCUGAAAGCAUCUAAGUGGGAAGCCCACCUCAAGAUAAGUAUUCUCC